rnacentral:rRNA from 1 species
AGCAGCCGCGGUAAUUCCAGCUCCAAUAGCGUAUAUUAAAGUUGUUGCAGUUAAAAAGCUCGUAGUUGAAUUUCGGGAUCAAAUUGUUGGUCGUGCCUCGGUACGUACUGGCAUUAUUGAUUUCUCCUUUCUGAAGAACCUUGAUGUCAUUAAUUUGGUGUCUUGGGGAAUCAGGACCGUUACUUUGAAAAAUUAGAGUGUUUAAAGCAGGCUCACGCUUGAAUACAUUAGCAUGGAAUAAUGAAAUAGGACGUUUGAUUCUAUUUUGUUGGUUUCUAGGAUCGACGUAAUGAUUAAUAGGGAUAGUUGGGGGCAUUAGUAUUCAAUUGUCAGAGGUGAAAUUCUUGGAUUUAUUGAAGACUAACUACUGCGAAAGCAUUUGCCAAGGAUGUUUUCAUUAAUCAAGAACGAAAGUUAGGGGAUCGAAGACGAUCGGAUACCGUCGUAGUC